AUAAUACUCACUUCGUCCGAAAAUACUUAGCGUGGGAAUGGAUAUAUCUAGAUGUAUUUUAGUUUUAGAUACAUUCAUUUGUAUCCAUUUUUGUGAUAAGUAAUUUCAGACGGAGUAAGUAGCAU
rnacentral:pre_miRNA from 2 species